rnacentral:sRNA from 1 species
GCUGGGCAUGGUGGCCCACGCCUGUAAUACCAGCAACUUAGGAGGCUGAGGCAGGAGGAUCAUAAGUUCAAAGCCAGCCUCAG